UUAUACGUGAGCAUGCUUUUAUGCCAGUUUCUGGCGUCGCGCUGCUUUUCCA
rnacentral:rRNA from 1 species